CAAUAGCGUAUAUUAAAGUUGUUGCAGUUAAAAAGCUCGUAGUUGGAUUUCUGGUGGGAGCGAUCGGUCUGGCGCUUAGCGCGAGUACUUGCAUCGUCUCCGGCCAUCCUUGGGGAGAGUCUGUCUGGCAUUAAGUUGUCGGGCAGAGGAUCCUCAUCGUUUACUGUGAAAAAAUUAGAGUGUUCAAAGCAGGCUUAUGCCGUUGAAUAUAUUAGCAUGGAAUAAUAAGAUAAGACUUUGGUACUAUUUUGUUGGUUUGCGCACCAAAGUAAUGAUUAAUAGGGACAGUUGGGGGUAUUCGUAUUCCGUUGUCAGAGGUGAAAUUCUUGGAUUUACGGAAGACGAACUACUGCGAAAGCAUUUACCAAGGAUGUUUUCAUUAA
rnacentral:rRNA from 1 species